GAUGAACGCUGGCGGCGUGCCUAAUACAUGCAAGUCGAGCGAAUGGAUUAAGAGCUUGCUCUUAUGAAGUUAGCGGCGGACGGGUGAGUAACACGUGGGUAACCUGCCCAUAAGACUGGGAUAACUCCGGGAAACCGGGGCUAAUACCGGAUAACAUUUUGAACCGCAUGGUUCGAAAUUGAAAGGCGGCUUCGGCUGUCACUUAUGGAUGGACCCGCGUCGCAUUUGCUAGUUGGUGAGGUAACGGCUCACCAAGGCAACGAUGCGUAGCCGACCUGAGAGGGUGAUCGGCCACACUGGGACUGAGACACGGCCCAGACUCCUACGGGAGGCAGCAGUAGGGAAUCUUCCGCAAUGGACGAAAGUCUGACGGAGCAACGCCGCGUGAGUGAUGAAGGCUUUCGGGUCGUAAAACUCUGUUGUUAGGGAAGAACAAGUGCUAGUUGAAUAAGCUGGCACCUCGACGGUACCUAACCAGAAAGCCACGGCUAACUACGUGCCAGCCGCCGCCGUAA
rnacentral:rRNA from 1 species